GUGGGGAAUAUUGGACAAUGGGCGAAAGCCUGAUCCAGCCAUGCCGCGUGUGUGAAGAAGGUCUUCGGAUUGUAAAGCACUUUAAGUUGGGAGGAAGGGCAGUAAGCUAAUACCUUGCUGUUUUGACGUUACCGACAGAAUAAGCACCGGCUAACUUCGUGCCAGCAGCCGCGGUAAUACGAAGGGUGCAAGCGUUAAUCGGAAUUACUGGGCUUAAAGCGCGCGUAGGUGGUUUGGUAAGUUGAAGGUGAAAUCCCCGGGCUCAACCUGGGAACUGCCUCCAAAACUGCAUGACUAGAGUACGGUAGAGGGUAGUGGAAUUUCCUGUGUAGCGGUGAAAUGCGUAGAUAUAGGAAGGAACACCAGUGGCGAAGGCGACUACCUGGACUGAUACUGACACUGAGGUGCGAAAGCGUGGGGAGCAAACAGGAUUAGAAACCCGUGUAGUCC
rnacentral:rRNA from 1 species